rnacentral:rRNA from 1 species
ACGAACGCUGGCGGCGUGCUUCACACAUGCAAGUCGAACGGAAAGGCCCUGCUUUUGUGGGGUGCUCGAGUGGCGAACGGGUGAGUAACACGUGAGUAACCUGCCCUUGACUUUGGGAUAACUUCAGGAGACUGGGGCUAAUACCGGAUAGGAGCUCCUGCUGCAUGGUGGGGGUUGGAAAGUUUCGGCGGUUGGGGAUGGACUCGCGGCUUAUCAGCUUGUUGGUGGGGUAGUGGCUUACCAAGGCUUUGACGGGUAGCCGGCCUGAGAGGGUGACCGGCCACAUUGGGACUGAGAUACGGCCCAGACUCCUACGGGAGGCAGCAGUGGGGAAUAUUGCACAAUGGGCGGAAGCCUGAUGCAGCAACGCCGCGUGCGGGAUGACGGCCUUCGGGUUGUAAACCGCUUUCGCCUGUGACGAAGCGUGAGUGACGGUAAUGGGUAAAGAAGCACCGGCUAACUACGUG